rnacentral:rRNA from 1 species
AACGAACGCUGGCGGCAGGCUUAACACAUGCAAGUCGAGCGCCCCGCAAGGGGAGCGGCAGACGGGUGAGUAACGCGUGGGAACGUGCCCUUUGGUUCGGAACAACUCCGGGAAACUGGAGCUAAUACCGGAUAAGCCCUUCGGGGGAAAGAUUUAUCGCCAAAGGAUCGGCCCGCGUCUGAUUAGCUAGUUGGUGAGGUAAUGGCUCACCAAGGCGACGAUCAGUAGCUGGUCUGAGAGGAUGAUCGGCCACACUGGGACUGAGACACGGCCCAGACUCCUACGGGAGGCAGCAGUGGGGAAUAUUGGACAAUGGGCGCAAGCCUGAUCCAGCCAUGCCGCGUGAGUGAUGAAGGCCUUAGGGUUGUAAAGCUCUUUUGUCCGGGAAGAUAAUGACUGUACCGGAAGAAUAAGCCCCGGCUAACUUCGUGCCAGCCGCCGCCGUAG